UGCUCACCAAUGCCGAGGCAGCUUUAAAAACAAGACACAGGAGGGUCGGGCGUGGUGGCUCACACCUGUAAUCCCAGCACUUUGGGAGGCCGAGGUGGGUGG